rnacentral:rRNA from 1 species
GAUGAACGCUGGCGGCGUGCCUAAUACAUGCAAGUCGAGCGAACAGACGAGGAGCUUGCUCCUCUGACGUUAGCGGCGGACGGGUGAGUAACACGUGGAUAACCUACCUAUAAGACUGGGAUAACUUCGGGGAACCGGAGCUAAUACCGGAUAAUAUAUUGAACCGCAUGGUUCAAUAGUGAAAGACGGUUUUGCUGUCACUUAUCGAUGGAUCCGCGCCGCAUUAGCUAGUUGGUAAGGUAACGGCUUACCAAGGCAACGAUGCGUAGCCGACCUGAGAGGGUGAUCGGCCACACUGGAACUGAGACACGGUCCAGACUCCUACGGGAGGCAGCAGUAGGGAAUGUGCCGCAAUGGGCGAAAGCCUGACGGAGCAACGCCGCGUGAGUGAUGAAGGUCUUCGGAUCGUAAAACUCUGUUAUUAGGGAAGAACAAAUGUGUAAGUAACUAUGCACGUCUUGACGGUACCUAAUCAGAAAGCCACGGCUAACUACGUG